UGGGGAAUUUUGGACAAUGGGCGCAAGCCUGAUCCAGCAAUGCCGCGCGCAGGAUGAAGGCCUUCGGGUUGUAAACUGCUUUUGUACGGAACGAAAAGGCUCUGGUUAAUACCUGGGGCUCAUGACGGUACCGUAAGAAUAAGCACCGGCUAACUACGUGCCAGCAGCCGCGGUAAUACGUAGGGUGCAAGCGUUAAUCGGAAUUACUGGGCGUAAAGCGUGCGCAGGCGGUUAUGUAAGACAGAUGUGAAAUCCCCGGGCUCAACCUGGGACCUGCAUUUGCGACUGCAUAGCUAGAGUACGGCAGAGGGGGAUGGAAUUCCGCGUGUAGCAGUGAAAUGCGUAGAUAUGCGGAGGAACACCGAUGGCGAAGGCAAUCCCCUGGGCCUGUACUGACGCUCAUGCACGAAAGCGUGGGGAGCAAACA
rnacentral:rRNA from 1 species